rnacentral:rRNA from 1 species
GUAGGUGGCAAGCGUUGUCCGGAAUUAUUGGGCGUAAAGCGCGCGCAGGCGGUCCUUUAAGUCUGAUGUGAAAGCCCACGGCUCAACCGUGGAGGGUCAUUGGAAACUGGGGGACUUGUGUACAGAAGAGGAAAGCGGAAUUCCAAGUGUAGCGGUGAAAUGCGUAGAGAUUUGGAGGAACACCAGUGGCGAAGGCGGCUUUCUGGUCUGUAACUGACGCUGAGGCGCGAAAGCGUGGGGAGCAAACAGGAUUAGAUACCCUGGUAGUCCACGCCGUAAACGAUGAGUGCUAAGUGUUAGGGGGUUUCCCGCCCCCCUUAGUGCUGCAGCUAACGCAUUAAGCACUCCGCCUGGGGAGUACGGCCGCAAGGCUG